rnacentral:rRNA from 1 species
CGAAUGGCUCAUUAUAUAAGUUAUCGUUUAUUUGAUAGUGCCUUACUACUUGGAUAACCGUGGUAAUUCUAGAGCUAAUACAUGCUAAAAGACCCAUUAGGGUUGUAUUUAUUAGAUUAAAAACCAAUGCCCUCUGGGCUCACUGGUGAAUUAUAAUAACUUCGCGAAUCGCAUGGCCUUGUGCUGGCGAUGGCUCAUUCAAAUUUCUUCCCUAUCAACUUUCGAUGUUUGGGUAGUGGCCAAACAUGGUUGCAACGGGUAACGGAGGGUUAGGGCUCGACCCCGGAGAAGGAGCCUGAGAAACGGCUACUACAUCCAAGGAAGGCAGCAGGCGCGCAAAUUACCCAAUCCCGAUACGGGGAGGUAGUGACAAUAAAUACUAAUACAGGGCUCUUUUGGGUCUUGUAAUUGGAAUGAGUACAAUUUAAAUCCCUUAACGAGGAACAAUUAGAGGGCAAGUCUGGUGCCAGCAGCCGCGGUAAUUCCAGCUCUAAUAGCGUAUAUUAAAGUUGUUGUGGUUAAAAAGCUCGUAGUUGAACCUUGGGCCUGGCUUGCGGGUCCGCCUCACCGCGUGUACUUCGCCGGCCGGGCCUUUCCCUCUGUGGAACCCUAUGCCCUUUAGUGGGUGUAGCGGGGAAACAGGACUUUUACUUUGAAAAAAUUAGAGUGCUCCAGGCAGGCCUAUGCUCGAAUACAUUAGCAUGGAAUAAUAAAAUAGGACGUGCGGUUCUAUUUUGUUGGUUUCUAGGACCGCCGUAAUGAUUAAUAGGGACAGUCGGGGGCAUCAGUAUUCAAUUGUCAGAGGUGAAAUUCUUGGAUUUAUUGAAGACUAACUACUGCGAAAGCAUUUGCCAAGGAUGUUUUCAUUAAUCAGGAACGAAAGUUAGGGGAUCGAAGACGAUCAGAUACCGUCGUAGUCUUAACCAUAAACUAUGCCGACUAGGGAUCGGACGAUGUUAUUACUUGACUCGUUCGGCACCUUACGAGAAAUCAAAGUGCNUNGGCUCCA